rnacentral:rRNA from 1 species
UACGUAGGGGGCAAGCGUUGUCCGGAUUUAUUGGGCGUAAAGAGCGUGUAGGCGGCCAUGUAGGUCCGUUGUGAAAACUCGAGGCUCAACCUCGAGACGCCGAUGGAAACCAUGUGGCUAGAGUCCGGAAGAGGAGAGUGGAAUUCCUGGUGUAGCGGUGAAAUGCGCAGAUAUCAGGAAAAACACCCGUGGCUAAGGCGGCUCUCUAGUACGGUACUGACGCUGAGACGCGAAAGCGUGGGGAGCGAACAGG